GUGGGGAAUAUUGGACAAUGGGCGAAAGCCUGAUCCAGCCAUGCCGCGUGUGUGAAGAAGGUCUUCGGAUUGUAAAGCACUUUAAGUUGGGAGGAAGGGCAGUAAGUUAAUACCUUGCUGUUUUGAUGUUACCGACAGAAUAAGCACCGGCUAACUUCGUGCCAGCAGCCGCGGUAAUACGAAGGGUGCAAGCGUUAAUCGGAAUUACUGGGCGUAAAGCGCGCGUAGGUGGUUUUGUAAGUUGGAGGUGAAAUCCCCGGGCUCAACCUGGGAACUGCCUCCAAAACUGCAUGACUAGAGUACGGUAGAUGGUAGUGGAAUUUCCUGUGUAGCGGUGAAAUGCGUAGAUAUAGGAAGGAACACCAGUGGCGAAGGCGACUACCUGGACUGAUACUGACACUGAGGUGCGAAAGCGUGGGGAGCAAACAGGAUUAGAAACCCGAGUAGUCC
rnacentral:rRNA from 1 species